rnacentral:rRNA from 1 species
GGAAGUAAACAAGGGCGAAAGGUGGAUGCCUAGGCUCUCGGAGGCGAAGAAGGACGUGAUAAGCUGCGAAAAGCUGCGGUAAGGAGCAAAUAUCCUGUGACCCGCAGAUUUCCGAAUGGGGCAACCCAUCAACGCAAGUUGAUAUACCGCCAAGCGGUAAGCAAACGCGGGGAACUGAAACAUCUCAUUACCCGUAGGAAGAGAAAAUAAGAAUGAUUCCGCAAGUAGUGGCGAGCGAACGCGGAAGAGCCCAAACCGGUUCCGUUUCGGCGGGGCCGGGGUAGAAGGACCGACAGAAGGACAAAGGAAGCAUAGCCGAACAGUAUUGGAAAAUACGAUCAGAGACGGUGAUAAUCCGGUAGGCGAAAUGCGGAGCUUGACAGUCGGUAUCCUGAGUAGUGCAGGACACGAGAAAUCCGGUACGAAUCAGCGGGGACCAUCCCGUAAGGCUAAAUACUCCCGAGAGACCGAUAGCGCACCAGUACUGUGAAGGAAAGGUGAAAAGAACCUCGAACAGAGGAGUGAAAAAGACCCUGAAACCAUUCGCCUACAAGCGGUCGGAGCCACUACGUGUGGUGACGGCGUGCCUUUUGCAUAAUGAACCUACGAGUUACCCAUACCGGCCAGAUUAAGCGAUUCAGUCGCGGAGUCGAAGCGAAAGCGAGUCCUAACAAGGCGGAUAGUCGGUAUGAGUAGACGCGAAACCAAGUGAUCUACCCAUGAGCAGGUUGAAGGUUAGGUAACACUAACUGGAGGACCGCACCGGUAAACGUUGAAAAGUUUUCGGAUGACUUGUGGGUAGGAGUGAAAGGCCAAUCAAACUUGGAGAUAGCUCGUACUCCCCGAAAUGUAUUUAGGUGCAGCCUCGGGCGAGAGUGGCGGAGGUAGAGCGACCGAUAGGAUGCGAGGGCUUCACCGCCUAUCAAGUCCUGCCGAACUCCGAAUGCCGCCCACUCGAUGUCCGGGAGUAAGGGCGCGGGUGCUAAGGUCCGCGUCCGAGAGAGGAACAACUCAGACCACCGUCUAAGGCCCCCAAAUCCGGGCCAAGUUGAAGACAAUAACGAAGUGCGGCCGCAGAGACAGCCAGGAUGUUGGCUUGGAAGCAGCCAUUCAUUUAAAGAGUGCGUAACAGCUCACCGGUCGAGCGGCCGCGCAUGGAUAAUAAUCGGGCAUAAGUCCGGUGCCGAAGACGUGGAAUCACACCUUGCGUGUGGUUGGUAGGGGAGCAUUCCAUACGGCGUUGAAUGCGUGCCUCGAGGCAUGCUGGAGCGUAUGGAAAAGCAAAUGUAGGUAUAAGUAACGAUAAAGGGGGCGGAAAACCCCCUCGCCGUAAGACCAAGGUUUCCUGAUCAACGCUAAUCGGAUCAGGGUCAGUCGGGACCUAAGCCGCACCCGCGAGGGGCAGGCGAUGGAAGAAGCGGUUAAUAUUCCGCUACCGGCACUGGCUGCGACGGAGAGACGGAGAAGUGACACGCCCGCGCGCUGACGGAAUAGCGCGUUGAAGGGUGUAGGCGCAGAGGGGCGCAGGCAAAUCCACGCCCCGAGCCGAGACCCGACAGUACAGCGAGCCCCCGGGCGAGCUGACAGCGGCGGUAACCAUGCUCCCUAGAAAAUCUUCUAAGCCCCAGGCCAGAGCCGCCCGUACCGUAAACCGACACAGGUGGUCGGGUAGAAUAUACCAAGGCGCUCGAGUGAUUCACGGUUAAGGAACUAGGCAAACUGACCCCGUAACUUCGGGAUAAGGGGUCCCGUCCUCCGGGACGGGCGCAGAGAAUAGGUCCAGGCAACUGUUUAACAAAAACACAGGGCUGUGCGAAAUUGAAAGAUGAAGUAUACAGCCUGACACCUGCCCGGUGCCGGAAGGUUAAGAGGAGAGGUCAUCGCGAGAGAAGCCUUGAAUUGAAGCCCCGGUAAACGGCGGCCGUAACUAUAACGGUCCUAAGGUAGCGAAAUUCCUUGUCGGGU